CAAUAGCGUAUAUUUAAGUUGUUGCAGUUAAAAAGCUCGUAGUUGGAUUUCGGUUAAGAGCGACCGGUCCGCCGUUUGGUGUGCACUGGUUGGUUUUAACUUCCUGUAGAGGACGUGCUCUGGGUUUAACGACCUGGACUCGGAGUCUACGUGGUUACUUUGAAAAAAUUAGAGUGUUCAAAGCGGGCUUACGCUUGAAUAUUUCAGCAUGGAAUAACACUAUAGGACUCCUGUCCUAUUUCGUUGGUCUCGGGACGGGAGUAAUGAUUAAGAGGAACAGUUGGGGGCAUUCGUAUUUCAUUGUCAGCGGUGAAAUUCUUGGAUUUAUGAAAGACGAACUUCUGCGAAAGCAUUUGCCAAGGAUGUUUUCAUUAA
rnacentral:rRNA from 1 species